rnacentral:rRNA from 1 species
UACAAAAAAAACAAGCGUUGUUCGGAAUUACUAAACGUAAAGAGCGCGUAGGCAACCUUCUAAGUCGAACGUGAAAUCCCCGAGCUCAACCCAAGAACUGCGUCCGAAACUGGAGAGCUCGAAUCCGAGAGAGGGAUGUGGAAUUCCAAAUGUAGCGGUGAAAUGCAUAGAUAUCAGGAGGAACAUCGAUGGCGAAGGCAGCCCCCUGGGCCGAUACUGACGCUCAUGCACGAAAGCGUGGGGAGCAAACAGG